GAACGCUAGCGGCAGGCCUAAUACAUGCAAGUCGAACGGUGAUAGUGAUAUCAUAGUGGCGCACGGGUGCGUAACACGUAUGGAACCUACCUUAUAGUUGGGGAUAGCCUUUGGAAACGGAGAUUAAUACUCGAUGGUAUGUUUGAGGGGCAUCCUUUAGACAUUAAAGAUUUAUUGCUAUAAGAUGGUCAUGCGUCCAAUUAGUUAGUUGGCGGGGUAACGGCUCACCAAGACGAUGAUUGGUAGGGGAACUGAGAGGUUAAUCCCCCACACUGGCACUGAGAUACGGGCCAGACUCCUACGGGAGGCAGCAGUAGGGAAUAUUGGGCAAUGGAGGCAACUCUGACCCAGCCAUGCCGCGUGCAGGAUGAAGGC
rnacentral:rRNA from 1 species